rnacentral:tRNA from 2 species
GCUCCGGUAGCUUAGCUGGCCAAAAGCACUCGCCUGUCGAGCGAGGGAUCGCGGGUUCAAAUCCCGUUCGGAGCGC